ensembl:lncRNA
GGCGGAGGAACAGGGUGGUGAAUCCUUAAUUAACAGGAUGCUCAGGGAAGCCAUGCAGGCUGCAUAAAGCUGUUGUGAAAGGCCGCAUUUAGGAUAGAUGCAGCAGCCUCUCAGCGAUAUCACUAACUUCAGGAGGCAGAAAGGCAGUUUCAGAGUUCUAGUCAGUGGUGAGAUGGGAGAUUAUUUCCUCUGGAAACCCUGAAUCUGUCUCUCUGAAAGCAUCUUCAUACUGUUAAAUGACUUGCUUAAUGGUAGGGCUCAGAGGUUCCAAAGCUCAGUUUCUGAAACUAAUUCAAAAUGUGCGCUCAAGAAACAAAAGGAAAGAAACAAUCACGAGCAAAAAUACAAAAGACGUAAUGAUUUCAACUAAUGUUAAAUUCCCUGAGGAACCAGGGAGCUUGUCAAUAUUUGGGGAAAGGUGAAAGAACAUAGAAUAUCCUUUUUUCCGAGCAAUAUUAUUGAAUUUAAUAAUUUAGUGGAAAUGUUCAUUUAAUUAUACAUUAAUGGGUAUGCAGUGAUAAUUUUUACAAAGUGCCAGGCGUGGUUGCUAGGCACAAGAGCUACUAAGAAGAAAGACACACCUCAGACACACCUCUGAAGUUAAAGAACAUUUAUUAGUCUUCUCGGAGUGAAUACCGAAACUUCCUGUGAUGAGACACAGACACCAGAAAGCUUUAAAAGAGUGAUUUAAGGAGGUAACCAGCACUUGCAGCCAACACUAUUAUGACUCCCUCAAGACGUGCACACACUGGAAUAAGCGUAAACAUUUACAAGGACAGGAAAAUUGAAUUCCUGAAAAUAUAUACCAAGCUGUAUUUUCACAAAUAAUCUUGUUUAUAGAUGCAUCAAUAUUCCUUGAGACUUGUUUGCAAUCACAGUUGUCCUGAGAGUUUUGAAGGCUUGUCAGAUGUUAAAGGAUUAGCCUUGGUCAGUAUAACUCUAGGAUAUUAACAUUCACUGGGCACCUACAUCUGAUCAGAAUCAUGCUAGGGGCUAGAGAAACAAAGAGAAACACAUCCCUUUUCCCCUAGGCCUCAGAGUCUAAAGGGGGAGAGAAGCAAGUAAACACUCCAUUACAGUAAGCCAUAUUGUAACUGGCAGGACAGACAUACACACAACCUGCUGUAGGAGCCAAAGGACGAGACUCCACAACCACGAGGUUGAGUAACCAGGAGACUGUCCGCAGCUCGUGUCUAAAUGCCUAGCUGAAAUCUAGAGAUGUCCAGCAGAGGAACGGAGGCAAGAAAACAGCUGACAGAAAUUGGACAUCAGUGUCACCUUACGUAGCAAGAGAGAAUGUUCCCUGGCCCAGGUGAAAAUAAUAAAAGGAAAAUACUGCCACAUGGAGUUGUCGAGCUGCAGCUAAUAUGAAGUAUCUAUAUAAAAAAAAGUCAUCUUUCCAAGUAUACCAUGAAUCUGGACUUCAAUUUCCCACUGAUUUCUUUCCUGCUGCUGACAAUGGUCACAUCACAAAAUCCUGUCUCAUCCACAAUAGGAGGGCUUAAGUUGCAUCACGUUGUCUUCAGAAACUGCAGAGCAUUUGUAGGAUCAACUAACGCAGAAAAAUUAAGUAGAAGUUCAAGGUUAGAUAAAGAACAGAGACUAAGAAUGAAGCCAACAGGAAAAGAAGUAAGAAGUAAAGAUGGGGAUGAAGUCCUGACCGCGCUGUUUGAGCCCCUGACCGAGCUGUACUUCAAACGAGACUAUCCCCUGGACUUUCAAGCAACUUGAGCCGAUAAAUUCCCCUUAUUUUUAAGCCAGGUAGAAUUGGUUUUCUUUCACAUGCAACAGAAAGAAUCCUAAGUGAUAUAUUUAGGAAGUGAGAGGAACUAAACCUGCUAGUUGAAGGCAUCGUCUCUACAGCCAACAAAAGCUCAAGUAGUCAAAUCUGAUAGAUUCACAGCGUGGUCAACGGCGCUCUUCAAUGUCUUUGACUGGAUCUUUCUGUAUUCUUACUUGUGUUCACAAUCAGCCCACAUCUGAUUUUGAUAGAGUCAUUUUUUCUAAAUAUCCCCAAAUAAUCUUUCCCAAUAGAAGGAAUAAAAUAUCUUGAGUUUUAUACACGUGAAUCCCAUAUCUCCAUCUAUUUUUAAGCAUGUCCCUAAGACUCAAAACUCAAAAUUGUUAUUUUAUGAGGAGUCUUAAACAAAAACAAAAACAAAACCUCAAGGGUUUAAUCUGGAAUACUAAUUGGGUUGAAAAUAAACACAAAAAUUCAGCGGC